UCCCUGAUAGCUCAGUUGGUAAAGAAUCCACCUGCAAUGCGGGAGACCUUGGUUCUAUCCCUGGUUUGGGAA
rnacentral:tRNA from 1 species